AUUGAACGCUGGCGGCAGGCCUAACACAUGCAAGUCGAGCGAGCGGCGGACGGGUGAGUCAUGUCGGGGAAACUGCCUGAUGGAGGGGGAUAACUACUGGAAACGGUAGCUAAUACCGCAUACCAUCAGAUGUGCCCAGAUGGGAUUAGCUAGUAGGUGGGGUAAUGGCUCACCUAGGCGACGAUCCCUAGCUGGUCUGAGAGGAGGACCAGCAACAAUUGAACUUAGACACGGUCCAGACGCCUACGGGAGGUAGCGUUGGGGAAUAUUGCACAAGGGUCGCAAGCCUGAUGCAGCCAUGCCGCGUGUGUGAAGAAGGCCUUCGGGGUGUAAAGCACUUGCAGCGGGGAGGCGUUACCCGCAGAAGAAGCACCGGCUAACUCCGUGCCAGCAGCCGCGGUAAUAC
rnacentral:rRNA from 1 species